UCUGCCCGGUAGUGGGGGAUAACCUGGGGAAACCCAGGCUAAUACCGCAUACGUCCUACGGGAGAAAGCAGGGGAUCUUCGGACCUUGCGCUAUCGGAUGAGCCUAUGUCGGAUUAGCUUGUUGGUGAGGUAACGGCUCACCAAGGCGACGAUCCGUAGCUGGUCUGAGAGGAUGAUCAGCCACAUCGGGGCUGAGACACGGCCCGAACUCCUACGGGAGGCAGCAGUGGGGAAUAUUGGACAAUGGGCGAAAGCCUGAUCCAGCCAUGCCGCGUGUGUGAAGAAGGCUUUCGGGUUGUAAAGCACUUUCAGUGAGGAAGAAAGCCUUGGGGCUAAUACCCCCAAGGGACGACAUCACUCACAGAAGAAGCACCGGCUAACUCCGUGCCAGCAGCCGCGGUAAUACGGAGGGUGCAAGCGUUAAUCGGAAUUACUGGGCGUAAAGCGCGCGUAGGCGGCCUGAUAAGCCGGUUGUGAAAGCCCCGGGCUCAACCUGGGAACGGCAUCCGGAACUGUCAGGCUAGAGUGCAGGAGAGGAAGGUAGAAUUCCC
rnacentral:rRNA from 1 species